rnacentral:rRNA from 1 species
AGAGUUUGAUCCUGGCUCAGGACGAACGCUGGCGGCGUGCUUAACACAUGCAAGUCGAACGGAGAACUUUCUUCGGAAUGUUCUUAGUGGCGAACGGGUGAGUAACGCGUAGGCAACCUGCCCUCUGGUUGGGGAUAACAUUCCGAAAGGGAUGCUAAUACCGAAUGUGAUCCUUCUUUCGCAUGAAGGAAGGAUGAAAGAUGGCCUCUACUUGUAAGCUAUCGCCAGAGGAUGGGCCUGCGUCUGAUUAGCUAGUAGGUGGGGUAACGGCUCACCUAGGCGAUGAUCAGUAGCCGGUCUGAGAGGAUGAACGGCCACAUUGGGACUGAGACACGGCCCAAACUCCUACGGGAGGCAGCAGUGGGGAAUCUUCCGCAAUGGACGAAAGUCUGACGGAGCAACGCCGCGUGAGUGAUGAAGGUCUUCGGAUUGUAAAACUCUGUUGUCAGAGACGAAUGCACCGAUUUAUAAUACACUUUGGUGUUGACGGUACCUGACGAGGAAGCCACGGCUAACUACGUGCCAGCAGCCGCGGUAAUACGUAGGUGGCAAGCGUUGUCCGGAAUUAUUGGGCGUAAAGAGCAUGUAGGCGGGCUUUUAAGUCCGACGUGAAAAUGCGGGGCUUAACCCCGUAUGGCGUUGGAUACUGGGAGUCUUGAGUGCAGGAGAGGAAA